rnacentral:lncRNA from 1 species
AAAGCAGUGGCUCCCAAACCUUUUUGCCUGUGACCCAAAGGGGAAUUAUGACAUUUGCCAGGACCCAAACUAGUGAAAACAACAGAUCUACAAGCCCACAACACAUCAUGAAAUAAAUUGGCUGUGCCGUUCUUUGGCUUCCAUCUUAACUUUUUAUUUUGGCAUCUCUCUACUCAGGGCAGUUUCUUCUGCUUGACACAGUUUCUUCUCAUUGACUUGCACUACCCUGUAAAUAUCUGUCGCAUAUCUAUAGUUAUGUAUCUUCUCCCUCAGACGAAAGGAGGUCGUUGCUGAAGAUGUGCAUGUCUCCACAAUCAGCCAGAGAUGGCCAGCCCUAUUCUUGUUGGAUCAGGUACAUGCAGAAUUCAAAAGAGUAACAGGAAAAGAAUUGAUGGAAACGUUCUUCCCCUCCUUGGAUGAGCACACCAGAGCUCCGCACCGCAGCUCACCACCCCACUCAAGUGACACUAAGGAGUCUGUUGGAGUACCGAGACGAGCAGACCACAGAGAUCGUUAAACAUCGGAGGGUGGUGGCUGUCAAAGGGCUGCAGUAUUACCUGGGGG